CAGAAGAAACAAUUUGGUUAUAUCAAAAUGCUGAAACUUUUUGGGUGGUUUAAGACUUGUCAGUAAUUGUUUCGAAUUUUUUGUUUUGAUUUUAUUAAAUGGGAAGAAAAUAAGCAGAAAUUAUAAAACCCAAUAGAAAUAAGAUAAUUUUAUAGCUUGUUUUAAACCUAAGAAAAAUUAGGUCUUUGAAGCAAGAUUUUAAAGUGAUUUUGGGGAAAACUUUGGAAGACAAUAAUCAUUUAAGAUACAUACUUACUUUUGUAUGUAUCUUAUUUUAAAACUUUUCUUUGAACUCCACAGCAUGAUUUUGUAGAGGUGAUAGAUAAGUCACUGCUUUUCAUUUUAAAGGAUAAAAUUAAGUGAGAUUUUAGUCUUUGAUUCAGUCCUUCUUAAGUUAAAAAAAAAUUAGUAUCAUGGAAAAGAUCUGACCAGUAAUUGUCACUUGAAGCCGAAAAACAAGAGGGACCUUGUGCUGCAUUACAAAGAAAACCACUUAAAGAUGUGACUCUUGCAGUUGUUGGGUUUCAAGGGUAGCUGCUUUAAGGGUCAGUCCUAGCUAGGGCAUCAGGUUCACUUACUGUCAGACCUGCACCUGAGACACAGUUUUGGUGUCUACCCAUAUCCAGAUUUUAUGAAUUAAGAUGAUACAAGUCUAUUAUGAGCACCCUUAAUCACAGAGGUAUUUCCUGGACCAAAAAAAAUGGGCAAUAUUUGGAAUAGUUAAUCCUCUGUUCUGGAAGCUUUGAAAUUUUCCAGAGAAUGAAGUCAUUCAGUCCAUCUGAUCCAGGUUAUCCUAUACCUCAGGACAACAUAGAUGAAUCAUUUCUUAUUCUUAAACAUGACACAGACUCCACCCACCCACCCCCGCCCCCAGAGCAUGUACACUAAGUUAUUAUAAGUAGUAUUUUUGUGUAAUUCACCAUCUCAACAAAAAACUGUAAAAGACUGGUUGCUACACUCAUAUUUCGUCUCAGGUAGUAGGAAAUGGUUAUUUUCUAAUUUUUGGUUUCUUAAAUAAAAACAACUUCUUUUUUCACUAGUCCUUACAGUCUGCCAUCCACAGCAUUUUCUUCCUUUCAACUAGAAGCCCAAAAGAGACCUUCUGAAACUCUAUGCUAGGUUUUAGAAAGUCUGAACUUGUUAUCUAAAUCCCCUCAAAAA
rnacentral:lncRNA from 1 species